GGGGGAACCCUGAUCCAGCCAUGCCGCGUGUGUGAAGAAGGCCUUAUGGUUGUAAAGCACUUUAAGCGAGGAGGAGGCUACUUUAGUUAAUACCUAGAGAUAGUGGACGUUACUCGCAGAAUAAGCACCGGCUAACUCUGUGCCAGCAGCCGCGGUAAUACAGAGGGUGCGAGCGUUAAUCGGAUUUACUGGGCGUAAAGCGUGCGUAGGCGGCUUAUUA
rnacentral:rRNA from 1 species